rnacentral:lncRNA from 1 species
AAUUUCCGAUUCUCAGAUCGAAGAAGUUUCCGACAAUCAGGUUGAUGUACUUGCGGUAUUCAGGCCGAUGUUCCGGUGUUCAGACCGAAGUGGCGAUCAGGCCGAUGUUCCGGUAAUCAGACCGAGGUGGUUUUCAGACCAAGAAAAAUUUUUCGGGGUUCAAGAAAAGAAAAAAAAGAGAAAGAAAAAAAAAGGGGAAGGAAGAGAAAAAAAAGAAGAAGAAAGAUGAUA